rnacentral:misc_RNA from 1 species
AAUUUCUGCUGACAAUGCCUCUGGAACAUGAGAACCAUCCUUCACAUUUUCUGAAGCCUUGGGUCGAUCCUUGAAGCUUAGUUUCGAAAAUUUCUUCUUCAUAGAUGAUCGAACUUUAAGUGAAGAUGGACUGGGUGACACAUGUAUACAUGAAGGUAUAGGAGUACUUGCAGAUGGAAGACUGGAUGCUGGCAGACCAUCUGGUUUUACCGAGCCAGGUGCAAGAGGCAUAUUUAU